GUAAAGACAAUGAUUGGAAAGAGUAGAUGGGUAAGCUUUACAGAGAGCAGGUGGCGGUGGAAUACCUGUAAGUCUAACCAUUGAAAAUCAUCCAUGAGUCGUGUCCUGAAGUUGUAUAAUGUGUAAGGACUACCGGUGUUGACCGUUAAAACAUAUCGAGUGAUUGUAGAAAGCUUGCUUUCUGCAUUAAUUUGGGUGGUACCGCGUGAGAAUAUAUUCCUCUCGUCCCUUUU
rnacentral:ncRNA from 1 species